rnacentral:rRNA from 1 species
GUGGGGAAUUUUGGGCAAUGGGCGCAAGCCUGAUCCAGCCAUUCCGCGUGCAGGAUGAAGGCCUUCGGGUUGUAAACUGCUUUUGUACGGAACGAAAAGCCUCUGGUUAAUACCCGGGGGUCAUGACGGUACCGUAAGAAUAAGCACCGGCUAACUACGUGCCAGCAGCCGCGGUAAUACGUAGGGUGCGAGCGGUAAUCGGAAUUUCUGGGCGUAAAGCGUGCGCAGGCGGUGAUGUAAGACAGUUGUGAAAUCCCCGGGCUCAACCUGGGAACUGCAUCUGUGACUGCAUUGCUGGAGUGCGGCAGAGGGGGAUGGAAUUCCGCGUGUAGCAGUGAAAUGCGUAGAUAUGCGGAGGAACACCGAUGGCGAAGGCAAUCCCCUGGGCCUGCACUGACGCUCAUGCACGAAAGCGUGGGGAGCAAACAGGAUUAGAAACCCGUGUAGUCC